rnacentral:tRNA from 1 species
GCAGUCAUAGCUCAGAUUAGAGCGUCGGUCUUGUAAGCCGAAGGUCAAAUUUAAAAAUUUUUACUGCU